AGAAUCAACGCUGGCGGCGUGCCUAACACAUGCAAGUCGAACGAGAAAGUGGAGCAAUCCAUGAGUAAAGUGGCGACCGGGUGAGUAACACGUGACUAACCUACCUUCGAGUGGGGGAUAACUCCGGGAAACCGGAGCUAAUACCGCAUAACAUCGCAAGAUCAAAGCAGCAAUGCGCUUAAAGAGGGGGUCGCGGCUGAUUAGCUAGUUGGCGGGUAACGCCCACCAAGGCGACGAUCGGUA
rnacentral:rRNA from 1 species